AAUGAACGUUGGCGGCGUGGAUUAGGCAUGCAAGUCGAGCGCGAUGCCUCCUUCGGGAGGCGGAAAGCGGCGAAAGGGUGAGUAACGCGUAGAUACCAACCUCGAGGUUUGGGAUAGCGGCGGGAAACUGCCGGUAAUACCGAAUAACAUCUCCGGAUCAAAGCUCCGGCGCCUCGAGACGGGUCUGCGUCCUAUUAGCUAGUUGGUGAGGUAACGGCCCACCAAGGCCAUGAUGGGUAGCGGGCGUGAGAGCGUGGCCCGUCACACUGGGACUGAGACACUGCCCAGACACCUACGGGUGGCUGCAGUCGAGAAUCUUUGUCAAUGGACGAAAGUCUGAACAAGCGACGCCGCGUGCGGGAUGAAGGCCUUCGGGUUGUAAACCGCUGUUGUAGGGGAGGAAAUUUUGACCGAUCCUAUGAGGAAGUCCGGGCUAAGUUCGUGCCAGCAGCCGCAGUAACAC
rnacentral:rRNA from 1 species